rnacentral:rRNA from 1 species
UACGUAGGGGGCGAGCGUUGUCCGGAAUUACUGGGCGUAAAGGGUGCGUAGGCGGUUGUCUAAGUCAGAUGUGAAAUCCCCGGGCUUAACUCGGGUGGUGCAUUUGAAACUGGGCAACUAGAGUGCAGGAGAGGGAAGCGGAAUUCCUAGUGUAGCGGUGAAAUGCGUAGAUAUUAGGAGGAACACCAGCGGCGAAGGCGGCUUUCUGGACUGUAACUGACGCUGAGGCACGAAAGCGUGGGGAGCAAACAGGAUUAGAUACCCUGGUAGUCCACGCGGUAAACGAUGGAUACUAGGUGUAGGGGGCGUAGAGCCUUCUGUGCCGCAGCAAACGCAAUAAGUAUCCCGCCUGGGGAGUACGGCCGCAAGGUUGAA